rnacentral:RNase_P_RNA from 1 species
UAAGUAAGCCAUACGGUCGCGGCUGAUGCAGUCGAGGAAAGUCCGGGCUUCACAGGGUACGAUGCCAGGUAACGCCUGGUGGGGGUGACCCCAAGGAAAGUGCAACAGAAAAUAAACCGCCUUCGGGUAAGGGUGAAAAGGUGAGGUAAGAGCUCACCGCGUCUGCGGUAACGGAGAUGGCAGUGUAAACCCCAUCGGAAGCAAGAUCGAACAGAAGGCUAUAUGGCGACCCGUCAUGCUUUCGGGUUGAUCGCUCGAGUCCGGCAGUGAUGUCGGACCUAGAUUGAUGACCGUUUAAUACAGAACCCGGCUUACGGCUUACUUAAUCA